CCCUGAGGGGGCUGAGAGCUGGCAGCAUUCCUUGCCUCUGCCUGGCUGACACAGAGAAGGCUCCCACUGAUUUUAGGGACAAGGAAGGUGUGCUCCAGCUGUGGCUUCAGGGAGGAGUUUAUCAGGGUGCAUGGGAAGUGGGACACAUGGUAACAACAGGAAUUAUUAGAAAAAUGGUGAAGAAUUGCUCACAGUCUUUUGGGCAGUUGCUGGUUUCAGUGAAGAAGUGUUGCACGUAUUGUACACACAAACACAGAUCAGUUUGAAAAUCAGAGCAGGAAACCCAGUGUGAGCAUCCUUUCCCUCUGCUGACCCCCUGUGACCUACUUCCACAUUAGCAGAGAGAAGCAAACACAGGGUGGGAUGUGUUUGUGUGCUCAGCAGUUGUCAGCAGGCUGUCCAGAAGUAAUGAUCUCAGACAAAAAUAACCCUGAAAAAUCUUUCCAAAUAUAGUCCCUCAUUAUUGGUGCUGUAUCAGUUUCAUUUCAAGCUGUGCCUGGCAGCUUUUCUCUCUUGUCCCCUUGAAGAGGACACUAACAGGUCUGAGGCACCAGGGCCUGUCUCUAAAACAUGUUUGUAAAACCUCAUCACACCUAGAAGAGUCAAUGCUCACACAACCAAUUUGAACCAAGCUCUGUGUUACAACCUGAUUUAAAACUUCACUGGUUUCAACAAAAGAGGGAAGAGAGAGUGGAAUAUGAAAUGUCAGAUUUUCUUCCUCUUUUUGUUUUGGAAACCUUACUAGCUGUCAUACAAUGUUGGCAAAAUCCAUCCAUUUUACAAAGGAAGAGAACAGAUGUACCCAGUGCAAUGUCUGUGAAAAAAAAAAAAACAAACAAACAAAAAAAACCCCAAAAAAGCACAAGGCUAUUGUCAGAAUGCAUCCAUGGACUGCUUGGAAGUGCUAAGUAUGCCAUGGAUGCAGAACAAGCCUAGUUAGGGACUGAGAACUGGCCAUGUUUGCUUCUGAGCCAUUUAGGGAAUUCAUGAGGCCUGCUGGCCAAAAUAAACCAUUUUAAGGGACACAAGGCUGCCUUGAAACAACUGAAGAUAAAUCUCAGUGGCUUCAAAGGAAGACUGAGUCUGGCUUUUUUGGGUAUGAAGGUAAGUUCCUACAAUGUGGCCCUUGCAGCUUCAGCACCUACAGCCUGAGCAAUCCCUUCCUCUGUUGACAAGGGAGAGAGCCCAGAGGAGCGUGAUCCACAGUGCCAGUCCCAGCAAGUGCACUUGUCCUGGAAAACAGCAGGGUGUGAACUGCAUUCAGACACAAAAUCUCAUGGCUCCUCAGCCUGGAGGGAAUCACCCCCAGCAAAUCCCAGUGGCUGCACACCUGACCUACCACAGAUGAUCAGCUUGCAGCUGUAAGUCGUAGGGUUCAUAAGCAGGCAGGUGCUUCUUGUUGAGGGGAGCCCCAGCUUAGGCUUGGAUGUGUUGCUAAUGGUGCCCCUGUGUUGGGGUCACUGAUGAAAGCCCAGCUCAGGGAACAGCUCUUGUCACAUGCUCUGGUUCCUCAGUGGGGCCAUGAAGCAGGAAGCACUGUCCUUCCCAGGAUACUCCAUCUUGAAGUAAAAAAUGCUGCUGGGGACAGUCACUGUGGGCUGCUUCCCACUGCACACACAAACAUGCAAACAGAGCCAGAACCACCAGCACAGAGAGUCUUGUGCAUGAGUACAAAUCUUAAAGAGCUUGGGUAUAUCAUUUCAUGACCUG
rnacentral:lncRNA from 1 species